rnacentral:rRNA from 1 species
UCGGGAAUUUUGGGCAAUGGGGGAAACCCUGACCCAGCAACGCCGCGUGAAGGAUGAAGUAUUUCGGUAUGUAAACUUCGAAAGAAUAGGAAGAAUAAAUGACGGUACUAUUUUAUAAGGUCCGGCUAACUACGUGCCAGCAGCCGCGGUAAUACGUAGGGACCAAGCGUUGUUCGGAUUUACUGGGCGUAAAGGGCGCGUAGGCGGCAUGACAAGUCACUUGUGAAAUCUCUGGGCUUAACCCAGAACGGCCAAGUGAUACUGUCGCGCUAGAGUGCAGAAGGGGCAAUCGGAAUUCUUGGUGUAGCGGUGAAAUGCGUAGAUAUCAAGAGGAACACCUGAGGUGAAGACGGGUUGCUGGGCUGACACUGACGCUGAGGCGCGAAAGCCAGGGGAGCAAACGGGAUUAGAUACCCUGGUAGUCCCUGAGCGGGCUGGCAAGGCGCAU